rnacentral:rRNA from 1 species
GACGAACGCUGGCGGCGUGCUUAACACAUGCAAGUCGAACGAAGUGGCGAACGGGUGAGUAACGCAUAAUCAACCUGCCCUUCAGAGGGGGACAACAGUUGGAAGCGACUGCUAAUACCGCAUACUGAAGGAGGUGAUUGCGUCGGAUUAGCUAGUUGGAGGGGUCACGGCCAACCAAGGCGAUGAUCAGUAGCCGGUCUUGGAGGAGGGACUGCCACAGCUGGACUGGGACACGGCCCAGACUCCUACGGGAGGCAGCAGUGGGGAAUGUUCCGCAAUGGACGAAAGUCUGACGGAGCAAAGCCGCGUGAGUGAUUACGGCCUUCGGGUUGUAAAGGUCUGUUAAUCGGGACGCGGUACCGGAAUAGAAAGCCACGGCUAACUACGUGCCAGCAGCCGCGGUAAUAC